rnacentral:rRNA from 1 species
GAUAAACGCUGGCGGCAUGCCUAAUACAUGCAGGUCGAACGAGAUUCUAAUGAAGAUGUAUCGGAUUUAGAUGAAAGUGGCGGACGGGUGAGUAAAGCGUGAACAAUCUACCGCAUACUGGGGAAUAGCACCGAGAAAUUGGGAAUAAAACCGCAUAAGACCACAGCAUCGCAUGAUGCAGAGGUAAAAACUCCGGCGGUAUGAGAAGAGUUCGCGUAUGAUUAGCUAGUUGGUGAGGUAACGGUCCACCAAGGCGACGAUCAGUAGCCGGCCUGAGAGGGUGUACGGCCACAUUGGAACUGAGAGACGGUCCAAACUCCUACGGGAGGCAGCAGUAGGGAAUAUUGCACAAUGGGGGAAACCCUGAUGCAGCAAUGCCGCGUGAAGGAUGAAGGUUUUCGGAUCGUAAACUUCUAUCGAUGGGGAAGAAAGAAAUGACGGUACCCAAGUAAGAAGCCCCGGCUAACUAUGUGCCAGCCGCCGCUGUAA